CAAAGGCGCGCGCCAGAUCAAAGGCCAUCUCGCAGCCGGCACAGGCGCGCGCCUGGGACUCGGCGGCAUAGACCAAGAGGGCCUCGGGGCGCACGAGGGCAACGGCGCCGACGCCCAAGGCCAGCGCCAGAUGCAGGAACAGGGCCGCCGUGAGACCACUAUUGUGGGUCGGUUGCUGUUGUUGGUAUUGCGCUCGCCUAUCCAUUCGCGUCUCUUUUGUCCUUGUGGUCUCUUGCGUGGCGGCCUUCUUCUUUUCUAAAAGAAAAAUUCACCCCCGAGCGACGGCGCUUUCCUUGCGUCGCGGCGCCGACCGCACGCGCGCGCACAUGACUUUUUUUACCAUCACAAAGAGAGGAGAGCGCGCCCGCCUGGUCGA
rnacentral:lncRNA from 1 species